GAGUUUGNUCCUGGCUCAGGACGAACGCUGGCGGCGUGCUUAACACAUGCAAGUCGAACGAUGAAGCCCUUCGGGGUGGAUUAGUGGCGAACGGGUGAGUAACACGUGGGCAAUCUGCCCUUCACUCUGGGACAAGCCCUGGAAACGGGGUCUAAUACCGGAUAACACUCCGUCCCGCAUGGGACGGGGUUGAAAGCUCCGGCGGUGAAGGAUGAGCCCGCGGCCUAUCAGCUUGUUGGUGGGGUAAUGGCCUACCAAGGCGACGACGGGUAGCCGGCCUGAGAGGGCGACCGGCCACACUGGGACUGAGACACGGCCCAGACUCCUACGGGAGGCAGCAGUGGGGAAUAUUGCACAAUGGGCGAAAGCCUGAUGCAGCGACGCCGCGUGAGGGAUGACGGCCUUCGGGUUGUAAACCUCUUUCAGCAGGGAAGAAGCGAAAGUGACGUA
rnacentral:rRNA from 1 species